rnacentral:rRNA from 1 species
UAGGGAAUCUUCGGCAAUGGGGGCAACCCUGACCGAGCAACGCCGCGUGAGCGAAGAAGGUUUUCGGAUCGUAAAGCUCUGUUGUAAGAGAAGAACGUGUGUGAGAGUGGAAAGUUCACAUAGUGACGGUAACUUACCAGAAAGGGACGGCUAACUACGUGCCAA